rnacentral:rRNA from 1 species
AGAGUUUGAUCCUGGCUCAGGACGAACGCUGGCGGCGUGCUUAACACAUGCAAGUCGAACGGUAAGGCCCUUCGGGGUACACGAGUGGCGAACGGGUGAGUAACACGUGGGUAAUCUGCCCUGCACAUCGGGAUAAGCCUGGGAAACUGGGUCUAAUACCGAAUAGGACCACAGGACACAUGUCCUGUGGUGGAAAGCUUUUGCGGUGUGGGAUGGGCCCGCGGCCUAUCAGCUUGUUGGUGGGGUGAUGGCCUACCAAGGCGACGACGGGUAGCCGGCCUGAGAGGGUGUCCGGCCACACUGGGACUGAGAUACGGCCCAGACUCCUACGGGAGGCAGCAGUGGGGAAUAUUGCACAAUGGGCGAAAGCCUGAUGCAGCGACGCCGCGUGGGGGAUGACGGCCUUCGGGUUGUAAACCUCUUUCACCAUCGACGAAGGUCCGGGUUUUCUCGGGCUGACGGUAGGUGGAGAAGAAGCACCGGCCAACUACGUGCCAGCAGCCGCGGUAAUACGUAGGGUGCGAGCGUUGUCCGGAAUUACUGGGCGUAAAGAGCUCGUAGGUGGUUUGUCGCGUUGUUCGUGAAAUCUCACGGCUUAACUGUGAGCGUGCGGGCGAUACGGGCAGACUUGAGUACUGCAGGGGAGACUGGAAUUCCUGGUGUAGCGGUGGAAUGCGCAGAUAUCAGGAGGAACACCGGUGGCGAAGGCGGGUCUCUGGGCAGUAACUGACGCUGAGGAGCGAAAGCGUGGGGAGCGAACAGGAUUAGAUACCCUGGUAGUCC